UACGUAGGGGGCAAGCGUUGUCCGGAUUUAUUGGGCGUAAAGAGCGUGUAGGCGGCCAGGUCGGUCUGCUGUGAAAACUCGAGGCUUAACCUCGAGCUGUCGGCGGAAACCAUCUGGCUAGAGUCCGGAAGAGGAGAAUGGAAUUCCCGGUGUAGCGGUGAAAUGCGCAGAUAUCGGGAAGAACACCCGUGGCGAAGGCGGUUCUCUGGGACGGUACUGACGCUGAGACGCGAAAGCGUGGGGAGCGAACAGG
rnacentral:rRNA from 1 species